AUUUUUUAUAUUUGAAUACUUUGCAAAAGUUAAUUAGAAAAGUAUAUCCAAAAAUAUUAAAUCAUUUGAAACUCGCAGUCCACAAUACUAAAUCAAGGCCUUAAUGAGCUAAUAGUUAAUGAGAAAACAAAUGUACAGGAUUUAAUUAAAAAGAGUGCAGUUGGGGAUUUCGCUCUCCACUUGAAAUUCUGUCCAACAUUUUGCGCAGGUUGAUGAGUAACUCUGUGAAAUUAAAUUUCCCAACUGACGUACAGAACAUGUACAUGGCUGCACACAGCAUCACAAAGGCAGGGUCACUCUUUAGACUUGCAAGAGAGUUGGUACGAGAGUCGGGUAGUGUAUUUCCCAGCUCUCUGUUUGACAGGGUGUCUAGAUAGAACCAGAUCUCCUCUUUAAAGCCCUAUUUUGUCAGUUUGGCAAAUUAGUGAAUUAAAAGACUGUAGGUAUGCUAUAUUGGCCCCAUAAACUUUUUAAUAAGCUAAAGUAGCAAUGGUGACUUAUACUGUACCUGAAGCACAUAAACAUAUAAUAUUAGGUCUGUGUCAGCCAUACUUAAAAAAUACAUAAAAAUAUGCUUUUUGUUUUUAAAUGUGUAGUAGUAACUAACAUUUUCAUUGAGUGUGUCCCCGUCCUCAUCUAAUGCAUAUCCCAAAUAUUGAUCUUGUUAACAUGUUGUUUCUACGUGUCCAUCACUAUUCUAUGUCUACUCUCCCCCUUCUGUUCUCUUUCCUAACAUUUACAAACUCCUCUGCCGUCAUGAUUCCAAAGCAUCCCACACAUACAUAUAGGUGAAUACGAAUGUUAGAGUUGCCAUAGCAACAUAGAAUGGGCUGGGGCAAAACCAAUGUGCAAAUAAUAUAAUUAGAGGCCUGGUGCUGCUAGUAGCCUGACCCGCCUGCUUGCCUUAUCCUGAGACUCUCAAUGAACACACUGCUGCAGUCAACACGCUUUGAUUUACUUGCAUUGAUUGAUGUUUAACUUCUAUUGCAUGAACUUUGGGUUCUUGGUAUAUGAUUGUUUUAACUUGUCUUUUGUUUUUUCUUCACUUUUUCCACUUUUUUUUUUAUCUCAACAUUUUACUUCCGCUUCACCUUUACAGCAUUGCAUUGAAAUCCAUGACUCAACUCAAACCAUGGUGGAAAACAGAUUACCAGAAACAGUCAUUUGGGACAUUAUAUUUGUUAAUUUCAAAUAUGCGAUAGAGUGGGUGACCGUGUAUAAGCCCUAAAAAUUAGAAUGUUGAUGAAGCGCUGGACACUUAUAUUGUGCCCUUAAUGUACAAAUAAUAUUUGAUCUUUGAAGGGGAUUGGUGCAAUACACCAUGUGAUAAACUCAUCACACUUAAGUAUAAAUUUGUAGCAUUGUGUACAAUAUAUACAUAUUUAUUUAUUAAAAUAAAAACCCUUCCCCUAUUAAAUGUAUUGGUUUGCGUAAAGAUCACGUGUGUCUUUAAACAAGAUCUCUUCGUAAAUUGAAUGAACAUAGCAUAUUGUGUUUUACAAAUCUCUGAAAAAAAAUGAUGAGGAAUAAUAUUCUAAAACGGAAAGACAGAUCGAUUGUUCUCCCAAAGGAGAUAUGAAUUUUAUCGAUUGACCUUUAUAUUUUCCAUUAAUUACAUAAUUCUAUAACUUCAUUAUAGGAUUUAAAGUCCUCUGUGGAGACUAUAGAUAAGGAGAAUGUUGUAAUACCUACAAGGUCACUUUGAAAAUAUCAUCCUUAACUAAAGUCCUCAAUUUAACGUUGUUG